AGAGAGAGACAUGCGCGCAUAUCAAUAAGCGGAGGAAAAGAAACUAACAAGGAUUCCCUUAGUAACGGCGAGUGAAGCGGGAAGAGCUCAAAUUUGAAAUCUUCAGGGUUUUACCUUGACGAAUUGUAGUUUAAAGAAGUGUUUUCUGCUGAAGUUUUGGUAAAAGUUCUUUGGAAUAGGACAUCAUAGAGGGUGAGAAUCCCGUAUUUGACCAUUAUUUUCAGCUUUGUGAUACACUUUCAAAGAGUCGGAUUGUUUGGGAAUGCAGUCCAAAAUGGGUGGUAAAUUUCAUCUAAAGCUAAAUAUUGGCGAGAGACCGAUAGCGAACAAGUACCGUGAGGGAAAGAUGAAAAGAACUUUGAAAAGAGAGUUAAACAGUACGUGAAAUUGUCAAAAGGGAAGCGUUUGACACCAGUGUUGUUUUCUCGAAAAUCAAUUAAAAAUGGCUCGAUUUUGUAUUGUUGAGACCUUAAAAGCUCACUGUACAUUUUUCGUGUCUUUUUUAAUGCACUUUUCGUUUAACAAGUCAACAUCAGUUUCUUUUGUUGUAAAAGGGUCAUUGGAAGGUGGCUUUCUUUUCGGAGAAAGUGUUUAUAGCCUUUGGCCUCUGCAAUCGGAAGAGACUGAGGUCUGCAGCGUAGACUCUUCGGGGUUAGAUACAUUUGUGCUAAGUUAUAGCUUUUUAUAGACAACUUGUUGACUAUAAUUAGUCUUGUAGCUUACUCGCUUAUGCUAUUUUACCUACGCUUAGGAUGUUGAAGAUGUAGCACAUCAU
rnacentral:rRNA from 1 species